rnacentral:rRNA from 1 species
UACAGAGGGUGCGAGCGUUGUCCGGAAUCAUUGGGCGUAAAGCGCGUGUAGGCGGCCAGAAAAGUUGGGUGUGAAAGCCCUCGGCUUAACCGAGGAAGUGCGCCCAAAACUGUUUGGCUUGAGUACCGGAGAGGAUGGUGGAAUUCCCGGUGUAGAGGUGAAAUUCGUAGAUAUCGGGAGGAACACCAGUGGCGAGGGCGGCCAACUGGACGAGUACUGACGCUGAGACACGAAAGCGUGGGGAGCAAACAGG